GCUUGAGGGAGUUAAGGGCUCCGUUCAGAAAUCCAAGCACAAGAUUCUGGGACGGUGGCGAUUCAAUUGCUAACGUCGUAAACAUCGUCGAGAUUGCCGAAUAUUCUGCUCUGGAUUUCACUUCGUGAUUCGAUAGGAAAGAAGAAACUAGGUAAUAGAGAAGGCCAAAGUUUCGACGAAGCCGGUGAAACCGACGGCUGCGGCGAGGUUCCUAUAGCUGGCUGUGCUCCGCCGUCCCCCUCGUCG
rnacentral:misc_RNA from 1 species